GGUUUGCCUUGCUGAGUCUGACGUUUGAUCUGCAGUUACCUCGUUCUGAAACUCUCCACGAUCUUCAGGGUUGACUGAGGCAAAGUCAAGCUCGUCUGCUGGCCAAUGAAGUAGGCCGAGCGUCUCACACCCUGGCUAUGUGUAGCUCUGAGGAGACAGACCUGCUUCGGCUGGAGGAGGUCUUCUCAACCACUCUUGCUCGAACCAUCAGUCUCAUCCUGCAGCCUCUGCUCUUAGCUGACCCGGAACCCUCAGAUCCCUGUGGCAAAGAGUGCCUUCGGCUUCUGCAGCAGCUGCAUGAGAGUGCCCAGCGGUUGUGGGAUGUGACAGAGCAGAGCCUGCUUUCUCUGAGGCAGAGGCUAUAUCACCCACCUUCCAUGAGUCUGGAGGCCGUCCUGUUACUGAACAAUGCUGACUAUGUCCUACAGGCCCACAUGGAGUACAUCAAAUCCUAUACUGACUGCCUGGUGG
rnacentral:lncRNA from 1 species